rnacentral:rRNA from 1 species
CGGUGGAAUGAUUUAUCUGGUUAAUUCCAUACGAACGAGACCUUAACUUGCUGAAUCGUUGCAUGUAACCUCGGUUAUGUGGGCAACUUCUUAGAUGAACUUUGCGCUUCCAGUGCAAGGAAGUUUGAGGCCAUAACA